rnacentral:rRNA from 1 species
GAUGAACGCUGGCGGCGUGCCUAAUACAUGCAAGUCGAACGAUGAAGCCGGAGCUUGCUCCGGUGGAUUAGUGGCGAACGGGUGAGUAACACGUGAGCAAUCUGCCCUUGACUCUGGGAUAACUGCGGGAAACUGUAGCUAAUACCGGAUACGACACCUUGGGGCAUCCCAGGGUGUGGAAAGAAUUUCGGUCAAGGAUGAGCUCGCGGCCUAUCAGCUAGUUGGUGAGGUAAUGGCUCACCAAGGCGACGACGGGUAGCCGGCCUGAGAGGGUGACCGGCCACAGUGGAACUGAGACACGGUCCAGACUCCUACGGGAAGCAGCAGUGGGGAAUAUUGCACAAUGGGCGAAAGCCUGAUGCAGCAACGACGCGUGAGGGAUGAAGUCCUUCGGGUUGUAAACCUCUUUUAGCAGGGAAGAAGCGAAAGUGACGGUACCUGCAGAAAAAGCACCGGCUAACUACGUGCCAGCCGCCGCGGUAA